rnacentral:piRNA from 1 species
GAUGAUCUUUUUGAUCCUGUGUGAGGUA